GUGCUACUCCCUCCGUCCGGAAUUACUUGUCGCUCAAAUGGAUGUAUCUAGAUACAUCCAUUUGAGCGACAAGUAAUUCCAGACGGAGGGAGUAUUUU
rnacentral:pre_miRNA from 1 species